rnacentral:lncRNA from 1 species
GGCGCCGGCCACCAGCGGCGGCCGCACUGCGGAGGGAGGAAGGCUCAUCUUCAUCGUCAUCAUUGUCAUUGUCAUCAUUGUCAUCGUCAUUGUCAUCAUUGUCAUCUUCAUCGUCAUCAUCAUUGUCAUCUUCAUCGUCAUUGUCAUUGGCAUCGUCAUUGGCAUUGGCAUCAUGGUCAUUGUCAUCGUCAUCGUCAUCACUGUCAUUGUUAUUGUCAUUGUCAUUGGUGUCGGCAUCAUCGUCAUCGUCAUCGUCAUUGUCAUCGUCAUUGGCAUGGUCACCAUCGUCAUUGUCAUCAUCGUCGUCAUCGUCAUCAUCGUCAUCAUCGUCACUGUCAUCAUCAUCAUCGUCGUCAUCGUCAUCGUCGGCGUCUUUGGCAUCAGCAUCAUUGUCAUCGUCAUUGCCAUCAUCGUCACUGUCAUCAUCUUCAUCGUCAUUGUCAUCGUCAUUGGCAUUAUCGUCAUCUUCGUCAUUGUCAUUAUCGUCGUCAUCGUCAUCAUCGUCAUCAUCGUCACUGUCAUCAUCUUCAUCGUCAUCGUCAUCGUCGGCGUCUUUGUAUGGGCGGCGGCGUCAUUGUCACCAUUGUCACCAUUGUCAUCAUUGUCAUUGGCAUCGUCAUCAUCAGUAUUGUCAUCCUCAUGGUCAUCGGCAAUGUCAUCGUCAUCAUCGUCAUCAUCAUUUGUCAUCGUCAUCGUUGUCAUCGUCAUUGGCAUCAUCAUCGUCAUGGUCAUUGUCAUUGUCAUUGUCAUCGUUGGCAUCUUUGUCAUUGGUGUCGUCAUCAUCAUCGUCAUCAUCAUUUGUCAUCGUCAUCAUUGUCAUCGUCAUUGUCAUCAUCAUCGUCAUGGUCAUGGUCAUUGGCAUUGUCAUCGUUGGCAUCUUCGUCAUUGGUGUCGUCAUCAUCAUCAUCGUCAUCAUCAUUGUCAUCGGCAUCACCAUCAUCAUCAUCGGCAUUGUCAUCAUCAGCAUCACCCUCACCAUCAUUUUCAUCCCACCCCAUCCAUCCCAUCCCAUCCUCAUCAUCCUCAUCCCAUCCAUCAUCUUCAUCUUCAUCCCAUCCCAUCCCAUCCUCAUCAUCCUCAUCCCAUCCCAUCCUCAUCAUCCUCAUCCCAUCCAUCCUCAUCAUCUUCAUCCCAUCCCAUCCCAUCCUCAUCAUCUUCAUCCCAUCCUCAUCCUCAUCAUCCUCAUCCCAUCCUCCUCAUCUUCAUCUUCAUCCCACCCCAUCCAUCCCAUCCUCAUCAUCUUCAUCCCAUCCCAUCCAUCCCACCCCAUCCAUCCUCAUCCCAUCCCAUCCA